rnacentral:pre_miRNA from 5 species
UUAAUGCUAAUCGUGAUAGGGGUUUUUACCUCCAACUGACUCCUACAUGUUAGCAUUAACA